UGUGUCGACUUAUAAUAUAUAUAUAUAUAUAUAGCAUUUUACCACAAUUACAAAUAAUAAUAUAUAGCUCAGCAAAUUUAACAAAAACAUUUGCCAUUGGCCAGAUCGGUUUAUAGUUGACUUCCGGUAAGAGUUUUCACAAUACACUACAACGUACUCAUUAUGAGUCGCACAUUUAUAGAAAUUGGAAGUAGCUGCCUGACUUUAAACUAUAGUACAGUAGCUCUAGAAACAGAUCGUUGGCUUUGGAGUUACCUCUAAUAAGCAUCUCUGCCACCUCCAGCUCAUCACCCUGUCUUGAGUCGUUUCCUCUUUCUCCAAACUAAACCUCAAGUUUCAGGAUUAGCAAGACUGAAUGAGUGGUCACUGAAGGAUGUGAUUCCAGGAAGCCAUUCUUUGAACCCCUGGAAAUUGGGAGCAAUCCUUUUCAACAACUUCAUCUGUAAUGAGUGACAAGCCUGGCCUGUGUGAGAUGUUUAAUGUCUUCAUGUGGCUGGAGGAAAUGUGUGUCUUUCUAUUUAACCUGUGUAACCUGUGUUUAGCUUUUUAGCAGUUAAAGUGAAUAAAAAUCUAAGGUUUAGAAAUAAGGACGGUUCAUCAGUUAUAGAAUGACAAAUGAACGCAGUAAUAUUUUCCCUUUGAGGGUGUAGUGCUCAUUAGAGAUCAAAGAGGCAGUUUGCUUGAAUUAAUGAAAUAUUCAUUUAGUACUUGGUAAUCCUUGUUGAGGUUUGUGUGAUAAUAAACACAUUCGUUGAUCUUUUGCUGCUUAUUUAUUUUCAGCCUGGACAUUUUGCACAUCUGCUUUACCUGCUUCUUACCAUUGUCUGCACAUCCAUACACAUGUUCUGCACCAUACUUAGGUUGAGAUACAAACAUAAAGGUCUAAAACAUGACUUAUACCAGCAGUUCACAAACUGUUUUGAUCGCGUACCUCCUUCUAUAUCCUAACCGGAUUAUAGAGGCCAUGUUAAAUCAUGCUCAAAGGGCCAGAACACACACACACAUAUAUAUAUGGCUUGUAUUUAUUAAUUAAUUCAAAUGUCCACUUUUGAGUUCAAAUUUUACAGUGGAAAUGUUUAUUUACACAUCUUUAUUGUGUGGAAAAAUCCCACUUAAACGAACACUCCAAGCUACAUCAUAUUGUUUUAUCUUGCACACCCCCUUGUGGCAGCUAGUGAACCCCAGGGCUGCCCGCACCACACUUAGGGAAUCCCUGACUUAUACUAUAAUGUUAGAAAAUUAAUUAGGCAUUUUGAAAUGUCCCAAAUUGUAUAUAUUGCAUAUAGCAAAAAAAAAAAGAUGAUCCUUGCAUUAUGAAAAACUCAAUACAAGGAUGACCAGGAAGCACAGAGUAUUUAUACCAUCUGAGGCUUUGGUUUAACAUUCAUAGUUAAAUAAAUCUUUAACACUGGCUGCUUUGUUAUUUAGUCAGGGUCAACUGAAGAUUUUAAGACACACUUUGUAAAUUAAGGUAAACAUUGACAGGUGUUUAAGAUGUUUUACAGCAGCUACUGUACAAUAGUAAUACUGUAUAUACACUGGUGAAUGCACUUUUUAUACUGUAGCAUGAGAACAUUGACACAAUACACAAUCAGACGCACAACAUUGUGUGUGACUGUGCGUGUGUGAGACACGCUUAGAGACAGCUGAGUGACAGCAUUGUGGUUAGCAACCUGUCCAUUCAUAAUGCAACAUGUUUGCAGAAGGAAACAGCCCCGAGCUAUAGACAGGAAAUCAGCCAUAUUCAGACACACACACACACACUCCCAGUCAGGAUUUCAUGAGUUGUGAGUAC